rnacentral:tRNA from 1 species
AUUUAAAUAAUUUAAGAAAAAUAUUGAUUUGUGGGAUCAAAAAUAUGAAGAGUAAAUAUCAUUUUAAAUU